rnacentral:pre_miRNA from 1 species
CAACUACUCCCUCCGUCCGGAAUUACUUGUCAUCAAAAUGGAUGUGUCUAGAACUAAAAUACAUCUAGAUACAUCCAUUUCAAUGACAAGUAUUUUCGGACGGAGGGAGUAAAAG